rnacentral:lncRNA from 1 species
GUCUUCUUCACCUGUACUUUAUGUGUAGAUCGAGGAAAGCACACCUUGCCAAAACUAUAGGCAGCAAAAGCAUGUUUGCGUUUUCGGAAGCUGACGGUACGUAACUACCUUUGUGCCUAAAGAUACAUGAUGAAAAUGUUGUAUUUCCCUCGGAGUGCUCUUUAAAAACAUGACUUGUUUAAGUGUCCUGGAGAUGUGUGCAUGUACAGUACAACAGCCAGGAACGGGGGAAAAGGUAGGGGAGACACGAAGAGAUGUCGUGCCUUUUCUAUUUCAAAGCCGACCCCCCUGCUCAUCGCCGCGUUCUCCUAACCUGUCACUGCCGGCGCAAACGGAGUGAGAAAGCGGACUGGCAGCGGUUCUCGGCCCCUAGCAGAUUUAUUUGGAAGUUUGAACUAAUAUUUAUGUAACCCGUGGGGACCUGCGUGGGAGUUCUUUUUUUUUCUUCGAGAUAGAGCGGCAGGUCCAUUAAUACCGCCAGCAGCCCGGGCGAGAGGUUGCAACGGGCGGCAGAGGAUUACCACAUAAAAAUUAUCUGGUGACUCAGCAGCCAAAAAUGCUCCAGUCUAAGAAGAGCUCUGGGGAGGGAGGCUGUACAGCGCCACUUAGAGCGCGAAGGCCAUUCUUCUCCGAUAGCAGCGGCUGCGAGAGCCUCUCUCCCAAGCUGGUCCACGGGGCUUCACGUUCAUCAGAUUCUGCAGCGGACUCUUCACUUGGACUGAAUAGGCAGAGAUUGAUUGGCGGCGAAGGAUUUUUUCCAGGGGACUUUGAAGAUGUUUAUUCUUCUUCUGAGUGGAAAUUUACACAGGCUUGACUGGGCCCCCCAGUGAAAGUGACCCUGGACAGAUAAGCAGAAUUCCAUUGGGAAUUCCGAUCGGUAUGUGUGCUGGGGUGGAGUGGGGAGGGAUACAGCCACUGCUCAGGUCUUCAGAGAUCGGGGAAACACCUAAAGACCUCUACAGGUAACAUAAUCGAUCCCAUGGAAUAGCCUAAUUUUUUUAAAAUGGCUGUUUAGAGAGGGUUCAAGGGCUUUGAAGUUGAUGAAAGCUCAUUUUUCAUAGGAAAUGUUUCUUUCUACAAUUGCUUUCAAAUAUUCCACUGGUAUUUGAAGUGCCCACUAUCAUGUUAAGAUCAUUCCAAGGCAAGUGAUCUAUGCGUCUGUUAUCAGGAUCCUUUUGUUAAAGAUCAUGACAAUCUGGAGCCCAUCUUGGCAGUACAGGACACAAAGCAGGAGCACACCAUGAGGAGCAGUGUCAGUGUGGAUUUGUGGCAUGGGCUCGAAAUCCUUCGUUAAAGGGUUGUGGGUUCACAUGAGGUACUGAUUGGCCACCAGCCUGGACACAGCAAUUAAGGUAAUAAAUUCAGCACUUUUUCUGUUUUUGUUUUGAUUAUAUCAUCUGCAGCUGUUAAAUG